rnacentral:rRNA from 1 species
UACAGAGGUCCCAAGCGUUGUUCGGAUUCACUGGGCGUAAAGGGUGCGUAGGCGGUCCUAUAAGUAUGGUGUGAAAUCUCCCGGCUUAACUGGGAGGGUGCGCUAUAGACUGUGGGACUAGAGUGUGGGAGAGGAAAGUGGAAUUCCUGGUGUAGCGGUGAAAUGCGUAGAUAUCAGGAGGAACACCGGUGGUGUAAACGGCUUUCUGGACCAUAACUGACGCUGAGGCGCGAAAGCGUGGGUAGCAAACAGG